GUGUUCGUUGAAAGGAGAGACGGUUGGUAUCUCUCCAGAAAGGGACAGGAACGGCUUGUGGGAUUUUUCUGUUACCAAUCACAUGCGGUUAAGCCAACCUGCUUAGGUGGAUCUUACCAAAAAAAAAA